rnacentral:rRNA from 1 species
CCUACGGGAGGCAGCAGUGAGGAAUAUUGGUCAAUGGACGAGAGUCUGAACCAGCCAAGUAGCGUGAAGGAUGACUGCCCUAUGGGUUGUAAACUUCUUUUAUAUGGGAAUAAAAUGUUCCACGUGUGGGAUUUUGUAUGUACCAUAUGAAUAAGGAUCGGCUAACUCCGUGCCAGCAGCCGCGGUAAUACGGAGGAUCCGAGCGUUAUCCGGAUUUAUUGGGUUUAAAGGGAGCGUAGGUGGAUUGUUAAGUCAGUUGUGAAAGUUUGCGGCUCAACCGUAAAAUUGCAGUUGAAACUGGCAGUCUUGAGUACAGUAGAGGGAGGCGGAAUUCGUGGUGUAGCGGUGAAAUGCUUAGAUAUCACGAAGAACUCCGAUUGCGAAGGCAGUUCACUGGACUGCAACUGACACUGAGGCUCGAAAGUGUGGGUAUCAAACAGGAUUAGAUACCCUAGUAGUC